rnacentral:rRNA from 1 species
UACAGAGGGGGCAAGCGUUGUGCGGAAUUACUGGGCGUAAAGGGCGCGUAGGCGGCCUUCUAAGUCAGACGUGAAAUCCCUCGGCUCAACCGGGGAACUGCGUCUGAGACUGAAAGGCUUGAAUCCGGGAGAGGAAUGCGGAAUUCCAGGUGUAGCGGUGAAAUGCGUAGAUAUCUGGAGGAACACCGGUGGCGAAGGCGGCAUUCUGGACCGGCAUUGACGCUGAGGCGCGAAAGCCAGGGGAGCAAACGGG